CAGCAACCGCGGGAAUACGAAGGGUGCAAGCGUUACUCGGAAUUACUGGGCGUAAAGCGUGCGUAGGUGGUGGUUUAAGUCCGUUGUGAAAGCCCUGGGCUCAACCUGGGAAUUUCAGUGGAUACUGGGUCACUAGAGUGUGGUAGAGGAUAGUGGAAUUUCCGGUGUAGCAGUGAAAUGCGUAGAGAUCGGAAGGAACAUCUGUGGCGAAGGCGACUAUCUGGGCCAACACUGACACUGAGGCACGAAAGCGUGGGGAGCAAACAGGAUUAGAUACCCCGGUAGUCCUUGUCUCUUAUAC
rnacentral:rRNA from 1 species